AUGUCAAAAAGCCAUUUGUACUUUAAUGGCGGAAGUCUAGAAUACUUUAAACAAAACAAUAAGAAAAAAAGAGACUCUGCAGUCUUAUUUCCUCUAGCUGCAUGAAAAUGUUUGAAUUAAGGAAGAAAUCAAAAGUCCAACCCUAAGGAAAAUGGAAUGUUAACUGCUUUUGAAUUCCCCUAGGCUCGAGAUUCGAGGGUUCUAGACUGUGGAAAAAUUCUUCCUCAGUCCCUGCUAUGAGGCUGUAUUGCAUUGUAGAAAGAGCUAUUGACUCACUUUCAGAGGCUGCAGGCUGGAUCCAAGCUCUGCCACUAACUGACCUAGGCAGGUCCUAAUACCGUCCUUGAAUUCAGUUUCUCCAUCAAGAAAUCAAGGAUCAAAUUAAAUGGUUUCUUCUAGCGUUUUCGUCUGUGACUCAGCGCUCAAUGUAUCUCCAACGGUCUACGCAUAUAUUUGCCUUUCUUCCAAAGCUCUUCUCUGGGUGAAGCUUUGCGUAGAUUGGGCACAAAGUUCAAUUAAUUACCGCCGGUCACCGGAACAGAAUGUAAUUACCGCCUCAAAGGAUGACCAAGCUGCCUUCUCUUGAGAGACUAACCGCGGAGAGACACUUCAGAGCUGCCUACCUGCGCCAUCGGCCCCGCACUGCUGCCCAGCGGCUCCUGGGGUCAACGGAGGGCCCAGUUUGCGUCAGUGCCCUUAAAUCUUCCACGUUCUCAUUGCCUGACAAAAACUGAAAUCAGAUUACACACUGAAAGCACAAGACCAGUCCUUGUUCGCUGCAUAAGAUCAUUUAAACCCCUAAGUGCUUGAUUCAAAUUUUAAUAAACACCUUUUCGAAGGUUCUAGCAUGUUUGGAGGAGAGGAGACACAAGCUGCCCUGUAAUCAGGCACUAGUUAGGAAGAGGAAUCAACCCCUUUGGUUUCAUUACAGCUUCCUCUCUGGCACCAACCACACAAUUCUCACAUUCUCUUUUUCUUUGUGUUCACUAACAUUUGGAGCACUUUAUGCAUGAGAUGGCUUUCAUGAGACAUAAUGAAAAGUGUGGACAGAACAG
rnacentral:lncRNA from 1 species